CCUACGGGAGGCAGCAGUGGGGAAUCUUGGACAAUGGGCGCAAGCCUGAUCCAGCCAUGCCGCGUGAGUGAAGAAGGCCUUCGGGUUGUAAAGCUCUUUUACCAGGGACGAUAAUGACGGUACCUGGAGAAUAAGCCCCGGCAAACUACGUGCCAGCAGCCGCGGUAAUACGUAGGUCCCGAGCGUUGUCCGGAAUUACUGGGUGUAAAGGGUGCGCAGGCGGCCAUGUGCGUCAGAAGUGAAAUAUCACGGCUUAACCGUGAGGGUGCUUUUGAAACGGCGUGGCUUGAGUACGGGAGAGGAUGAUGGAAUUCCUGGUGUAGCAGUGAAAUGCGUAGAUAUCAGGAGGAACACCGGUGGCGAAGGCGGUCAUCUGGCCCGGUACUGACGCUCAGGCACGAAAGUGUGGGUAGCAAACAGGAUUAGAUACCCUGGUAGUCCACACCGUAAACGAUGUAUGCUUGGUGUUGGGGUAGCAAUACUUCAGUGCCGUAGGGAACCUAUUAAGCAUACCACCUGGGGAGUACGAUCGCAAGGUUGAAACUCAAAGGAAUUGACGG
rnacentral:rRNA from 1 species